CCUAACGUACAAUACCGACCCUGUGGAUAACUCAUCGAAAGCAAAACUGAUGCAAACCAUCCAGCUAGCCAUCAGCCAGACGGAAAACGACGUGUCCGGCAGUGAAAGCGUUAAAUGAGAUCGCCCCUCCAGCCAAGAAAUUAAAGGGACCAAACAUUCCUUAAAUGGCGGAGGGGCACUACACCAUGUUUGCUGACUUGCAAGGGCACUUCAUGAGGAAUUUCUACACGAAAGGCACCCAGGGGGAACCUCAAAUGUACACAGCCGUAAGGGCACCUUAUAUGACAUCGCAUCACGUUUUCUCCAAUGGAGAGGCAUCCAUUAGGACAAUUCCCCACAUUGUCACACAUGGACUGCCCCACUAGAAAGGCACCUAUUUGGACACUUAGUCAUGUAGGCGUGGUAGAGAGGCCAAUUCAUAACAGCACCCUUUUACAUUGGAAGGGCACGAUACAAAGCAAUGCAUCCCACUUCCUCCACUAGAAGGGCACUCAACGUCACAUUUCCUUGCUGAUCCCGAGAUGCUGGGUUGCCAACUCUCAUUCAUGACACACUUUGAGCCCUUUAUCUCGCACUAGAAAUCUUACGGCAAAUCUGUAUUACUCCAUUAUAAACCUAAAAUUAGCUACUUCAAAAGCAUUGGUGCAGUUUGCGAACCCUACAGACUAUUUUGAAGGUAAGAAAUGUACACAGGCCUACAUGUAAGUGUAUGUGCAUCCGUGUGCAUAAGCACAGGCAAGCAUGAGAGACUUGUCUCAAAUUGAAAAACUAGCCAGAUGACCAAAGUUGCCAACCCUAUAGAUGGAGCUAAAUCAUGUUGAAGGGCAACCAAAGGCAGCGUUUUCGCCACUUUAAAGGGCACUUUAACGACAUUUUUUUUCAGGCAUGGGGGCAUUGGGAGGGUUGCCUCCCUGAUUGAACAGGCUAGGCCAAUGUGACUCAAUCAUAUGCCGCUUUGGACAAAAGCAACUCCUAAAUAAAAGUAAAUGUAAAUGUA